rnacentral:misc_RNA from 1 species
AGCAGGAUCAUUCUUGGAAGAAAUAUAUGUUUCAACUUAUUAUUUCUUUCGAUUUUUAAAAUUCUGCCGUGUGUGUGCGUGUUCUUCACGCCCACACAUGGCGGAAUCUGGGAAUCCUCCUAAGGCAGCGGCAGCGUAAAACCUGUUAGCUAGUCUACUUCUCGUCAGUCCUGUGUCUCGCUUCGGCUCAUUAGAGUAUCAGGCUGGCGGGCGGUUGGGCAACAUAGAGUGCGGGGGAUGCUGCUCUCCAACCGUUCGAAACAACGCUCAACGAUGGAUAUCUCGGCUUGGUGAUCGAUGAAGGACGCAGCAAAGUGCGACAAGUGUCACGACUUGCAGAUACCCGAGAGCUGACAAAUUUCUGAAUGCAAAUUGCAGCCAUGUUAACCUGGCUAUGUAUUGCAGAGAGUACUUCGCUUAUGCGCUCCAUCCAGUCAUGUUAUCAUCUCUGGGACAUGCGACUUCCCGUCGUGUCGUGCGUGCGUGUGCGUGCGUCCAACGCACUCACACCACACACAAUGCAAAAAAGACGAGGAGGUUGUCAAAGGAAGAAAACCAUGAGUUUUCCUGGCUUUUUUAUUAACCUGAGACGAUUAGAAAUCUCUUUUCUCCUCUCACCUCUCACCUCUGCAAUGCAGGAGAACCCGCUGAACUUAAGCAUAUCAUUGAGCGGAGGACAAGAAAACAACUGUGAUUCCCUGAGUAACUGCGAGUGAAUAGGGAACAGCCUAUGCUUGAAUCCGGUGUGGAUGGAAUCGGAAACACCGGAAUUGUAGUGCAAGGGUGUAGGGCGAGGUGUAGCAGUCGGAAGAAUCGCUCAGGAACGAGCAACCAAUGAGGGCUAUCGUCCCGUACCCUCCGACGCGCUGCGCUUCACAUGCUCUGCUCCCCAAGAGUCGGGCAGUUUGAGAAUGCUGUCCAAAACCGCAGGUGUACUCCUGCGAAGGCUAAAUAUUUCACCAAGACCGAUAGCGAACAAGUAGUGUGAACGAAAGAUGAAAAGUACUUUGAAAAGAGAGUGAAAAGUCCUUGACAUUGUUGGGCGCAAAGGGUAUGAGACCCAUUGUAUGCUUCUGCUUUUCAGCGUGAGCUGUCAACGCGAGUUUCCGGCUUCUGCAGGAUUUGAUCUGCUUCCUCGCUUCGGCGUGUAAGAGCCUUUUCCGUUGCUGAAAGUCGGAGACUUGGCAGAGUCUGUUAGCCGAGGGUGGCUGAUUUUGACCGUGUUUGUGCGGCCGAAGUGUCUUCUUUCGUGGGGGGCCUUCACUUCACAUGCAUUGUCACCAGCUGCUCUCGAGCUAUGGAAUCGUUGACCAUUUAAUGGUCUCUUACCACCCGUCUUGAAACACGGACCAAGGAGUCUACCGAAUGUGCGAGUGUUAUGGUGAUUGAAACCAAACGACGCACAAUGAAAGUGAAUCCUGUGAACCGCGGCGGAGAUCGUCGUUGGUGCAACAGGGCUCGGUCCUUAUCACUUGAAAGGGAUCUGAAGUUGAGCACAUUCGCUGGGACCCGAAAGAUAGCGAGCUUUUCCUGGGCCGAAGGAAGCCAGGGGAAACCUUGGUGGACGUUCGAAUGCAGUGCUGACGUGCAAAUCGCUUGUCAGAUCUGGGUAAAGGGGCGAAAGACUCAUCGAGCUAUCUAGUAGCUGGUUCCCUC